rnacentral:lncRNA from 1 species
CGAAGGCCGGGGCGCCAAGUUCGUCCAGCGGAAAAAGGCCACAAAAACGGGUGGGCCAUAGCCAUGGGGGGGGGGUCUGGCCUUCUUCGUCCGCCGGACUCGGAAUGCCGCGAGACUUUGCGAGGGGCCUCCGUGUGCCAAAAAUAGGCCGCGGUCAAUGCCGAGCCAAAAAAUAACCGUCCGAAUGCCGGGGCGCCAAGUUCGUCCAGCGGAAAAAGCCCACAAAAACN